CCAGGUGUUUUGCUCAACAUUGUUAAAGUCUGGCAUAAUGGGGCCACUCAACAAGGUGUGUCUAAUGAUUUAAUGAAUUAACAGAAGAGAACUAAUUUUAGGCAUUCUCCAAUUACACAUGAAUUUGUUCAGUCAAAAAGCAUAGACACCUUCUAUAUGACAGAUAUUAGACUAGGUGGCAAUAAACAAAUAUGGUGAUAUGAGCAGGCCAAGAGGAAUACAGAAAAGACAUGGCAUGGCAUGCAGGGAUGAGUGAAGACUACACGGGGAAGUAGCACAUGAAACGAAUCUAAGAAAACAUGCCCCUAUGAGCAAGUCCUGUCAAGAGGCAAAGAUGAUCACGGAGAAGCAUGCAAAGACCUUAUUUGGAAAGCAGAUGAAUGGGAAGAUUGUGCAUUCUCUUGUGAUCGGUGGGACCAUGCAGCUCAGGCUCCCCAGAGAGAUGUGAAUAGAAAUAAUGCUUCGAACACAAACCUGAAUCAUAUCGGUUGCAACAUUUUGGCUGAAACAUCUCAAAAACCUCAGCGCAUUGCGGAUAAACAGGACUACCUAGCAAAAAAUUUAAAGACAUUUUUAUUUAAAGAAAGAGAGGAAAGUUAUAUUCCACAAGGAAAUAGAGUUGAUGCAAAUAAAAAUCCAUGUAUAUAGUGAGAUUAAGCCAUUUCAGGAAAAUGAAAAGAAAACUAGCUGUAAGGUAAUGGGGAGGACACAUUUAAAAAGUUGGGGUUUUUUUGUUGUUGUUUUGUUUUAUUUUGUUUUUUUUCCCCAUUCCUUUUAGAAAGGAAAACAAGAUAGUUACUAUGCUCUUCUAUAACUAUCUUGGGGUAAAAAAGAAGUUGCAGUAAAGAGCAGGCAUGAUAAUGAACUUACAAUUCCAUCCCAUCCAUUUUAAUCAAAUGGGAUAUUAGCCUUCCAGUCAACACUAAGUGGAAGUGUGAAUAGCGAAGCAAUCUUGUGGUGUCCCCCAAGAGGAUGUUCUAGUUUAUUUAGAGAUGUGAAAGUUGCA